rnacentral:rRNA from 2 species
GACGAACCGAGCGAACGUUGUUCGGAAUCACUGGGCUUAAAGGGCGCGUAGGCGGGUGCUCAAGUCCGGGGUGAAAUCCUCCAGCUCAACUGGAGAACUGCCUCGGAUACUGGGCGUCUCGAGUGUGGUAGGGGUAUGCGGAACUAUCGGUGGAGCGGUGAAAUGCGUUGAUAUCGAUAGGAACUCCGGUGGCGAAGGCGGCAUACUGGACCACUACUGACGCUGAUGCGCGAAAGCCAGGGGAGCAAACGGG